AUCAUAAUAAUGAUAAUAAAUAGUUUUUAAGUUAACAAUAAGUUAAAACUACAAGCUUAAAGUCGCCCAAAUAAUACAAGUUCAUUGGCGCUAUAUUGAUUUUUUUUUUCAGUUUAAAUUAUUUAUGUUGCAACAAAAGCUACCACAGACUUUUACAAACACAAUUAAACACAUUUUGAUUGAAAAGAAAUAAUUCUAACUAAUUCUAAAACCUGCAUACACUGUAAGAACAGCAACUAAUUAUAAAUAAUGGAAACAAAUAUAAGAAACCAUACACAACAAAAGGAACUGAAACGAAAUAUUCGACCCACGUGUGUCUUCUAUGGCAACAUCAACAACACAAAUACACUAAGUUAACGUGUGAUUCUGAUAUGUAAAGAAAAUCAAUAAAUUACAGGAAAAAAUACUCUGAAAUCAACAUGGGCUAAAACCGAUGAUAUUUUAGACAGUAUUCCAUUCACGGUCUUUUAGAUUUGCUCUUUUCGGUACCAUAGAUGGCUGUUUGUUUUAGCUUGCAUGGUCAGAGCACUAAUAAGGGGGUGGAGGAAGGGAUAAUGGACAUUUUUAGAGACCAGAGCUCUUCGUGCUUGUUUGAUUCUUCUAAUGAAUCUGUUAGUUAACACUUUUUUUUCAUUUUGUUGUUGUUCGUUACAUUUGAUCCUUUCACUAUUCUGCAAACCAUUUCAGUGUGACGUUUAAUUUCUUUUUUAAAAAAUAUAUAUAUCUUUUGUUCUCAGUCAAUAUAAAAACGAAGCACAUUGCACUUACUGUUCCAUAGGAAAGGUUUUUUUUUUCUUUUUUUUUUUAAUGAUUAUUAUUGUAGUUGCUCAAGCGGUCCAGUAGCCUAUGUUUGUUUCCUGCCAUUGUCAUUGGCUCUCUGAGGGGAUGGGGGAGUGGUGUAGCUAAAGAGUUCGUUGGGACACUCAGAGGGAUGAUGCUAAAACCUCCCUAUGGUCACCAGGUGCACUACAGGGUUGCCCUGGUCACUGUAUCUACCCCAUCGCUCAUUUUAGAGAGUGGACCAAUCUUUACGUCUAGGAUGUUUGUCCCCUCUAGGGCACACCACCGAUGAGUUCCAGGAUAAGUUGCGUUAGCGAAAGAAAAAUGUGUUGCGAUGUUAAUGUGGCGUAAACUGAGAGGGGUUAGUUCAAGGUGUAUCACAGUUUUGAUACAAUGGGAAUGCUGUUGAAGGCUUAGAGACACUUUGAUAUGUGUUGUGUGUAAGUGUAAGUGUAUAUGUGUGUGCACACUUUUUUCCCUUCAUCAGUGACAAAGCUAAGAUCCCUUGGUUGGUUAGUGCUUGUGCAAAGGAGCAAAAUUAGGUGUCGACGAUAUGAUGGUGGAAUACAGAAGAUAUGUGGAGCAGAAAUUAAAUAAAAACAAACAAAUCUAGACAGCACAAUGAUAGACAUUUGCUUGUUGUGUUGACAUACUGGCGAAUAUAAUCCACUAUGGAUUAUUGUGUGAGAAUUGAUUACAUUAAUAAGUGCAGCUACGUUACAUUGUCAAAUUUUUUUUUUUAACUUUUUUGGUGCACCGAACAUGCUGAAGCGUUAAGGUGAUUCUUCUUUUUUGUUUUUGCCGAUACAAGAUGAGAUGCUCUGGGUGUUCGAUGUGACGCCGUUUCGAGCUUCACUGCACCAUCAUUGAAACAAUGCUUGAUUUUUUUU